rnacentral:rRNA from 1 species
GUACUCCACUUAACUCCAGUUGAUCCUGCUGGAGGAUACUGCUAUCGGAGUUUGACUAAGCCAUGCAAGUCUAACCUUCGGACUUCCGGGGGUGGCAAAGGGCUGAGUAACACGUAGUCAAUCUACCCUGAAGAAGGAGAUAACCUUGAGAAAUUGAGGACAAUAUCCUAUAUUCCACCUAUGUUGGAAUGCUUGGUGGUUUAAAUGGGCUGUGAAUUGGAACAGUUCCGCUUCAGGACGAGACUGCGCGGGAUUAUGGUUGUUGGUAGGGUAACGGCUUACCAAGCCUAUAAUCUCUAGGGGCCAUGAGAGUGGUGGCCCCCAGAAGGGCACUGAGACAAGGGCCCUAGCCCUACGGGGUGCAGCAGGCGCGAAACCUCUACAAUGCUCGAAAGAGUGAUAGGGGAACUCCGAGUGGCGUAAGCUAAGCUUGCGUCUUUUGCCAAGUGUAAAUAGCUUGGAGAAUAAGGGUGUGGGCAAGACUGGUGGCAGCCGCCACGGUAAAACCAGCGCCUCAAGUGGUAUCCACGAAUACUGGGCCUAGAGCGUUCGUAGCCGGCCAGGUAAGUCUUCUGUGAAAUAGUGUAGCUUAACUACACUGCGUGCAGGAGAUACUGCUUGGCUUGGGAACGGGGGAGGUCAGGAGUACACCCGGGGUAGGGGUAAAAUCCGUUGAGCCUGGGUGGACUACCAGUGGCGAAGGCGCCUGACCAAAACGUGUCCGACGGUGAGGAACGAAAGCUGGGGGAGCGAACGGGA